rnacentral:siRNA from 1 species
UUUAUUGGUUGAUUCUCAGGUA